UACGUAGGGGGCAAGCGUUGUCCGGAAUCAUUGGGCGUAAAGCGCGCGUAGGCGGCCAGAUAAGUCCGGUGUGAAAGUCAAAGGCUCAACCUUUGAAUGCCGCUGGAAACUGUCUGGCUAGAGUCCGGAAGGGGCGAGUGGAACUCCUGGUGUAGCGGUGAAAUGCGCAGAUAUCAGGAAGAACACCAAUGGCGAAGGCAGCUCGCUAGGACGUUACUGACACUAAGGCGCGAAAGCGUGGGGAGCGAACAGG
rnacentral:rRNA from 1 species